rnacentral:tRNA from 1 species
GCCCCUGUAGCUCAGAAAGGAAGAGCAGAGGUUUCCUAAACCUUGUGUCGGGGGUUCGACUCCCUCCAGGGGCACCA